rnacentral:rRNA from 1 species
AUUGAACGCUGGCGGCAGGCUUAACACAUGCAAGUCGAGCGGGGUGAUGGUGCUUGCACUAUCACUUAGCGGCGGACGGGUGAGUAAUGCUUAGGAAUCUGCCUAUUAGUGGGGGACAACAUCUCGAAAGGGAUGCUAAUACCGCAUACGUCCUACGGGAGAAAGCAGGGGAUCACCUGUGACCUUGCGCUAAUAGAUGAGCCUAAGUCGGAUUAGCUAGUUGGUGGGGUAAAGGCCUACCAAGGCGACGAUCUGUAGCGGGUCUGAGAGGAUGAUCCGCCACACUGGGACUGAGACACGGCCCAGACUCCUACGGGAGGCAGCAGUGGGGAAUAUUGGACAAUGGGGGGAACCCUGAUCCAGCCAUGCCGCGUGUGUGAAGAAGGCCUUAUGGUUGUAAAGCACUUUAAGCGAGGAGGAGGCUCUUUUGGUUAAUACCCAAGAUGAGUGGACGUUACUCGCAGAAUAAGCACCGGCUAACUCUGUGCCAGCCGCCGCAGUAA